AGAGUUUGAUCAUGGCUCAGGAUGAACGCUGGCGGUAUGCUUAACACAUGCAAGUCGAACGAAUCCCUUCGGGGAUGAGUGGCGGACGGGUGAGUAACGCGUGAGAAUUUACCAAAAGGACUGGGACAACCACUGGAAACGGUGGCUAAUACCGGAUGAGCCGAAAAGUAAAAAGGGAAACCUGCCUUUUGAAGAGCUCGCGUCUGAUUAGCUAGUUGGUGAGGUAAGAGCUCACCAAGGCAGCGAUCAGUAGCUGGUCUGAGAGGAUGAUCAGCCACACUGGGACUGAGACACGGCCCAGACUCCUACGGGAGGCAGCAGCCAGGAAUCUUGGGCAAUGGGCGAAAGCCUGACCCAGCAACACCGUGUGGGCGAUGAAGGCCUUAGGGUCGUAAAGCCCUGUUGAUAGGGACGAAGGGCGAAGGGUUAAUAGCCCCUAGCUUGACGGUACCUUUCGAGGAAGCCCCGGCUAACUACGUGCCAGCAGCCGCGGUAAUACGUAGGGGGCGAGCGUUGUCCGGAAUUAUUGGGCGUAAAGAGCGUGUAGGCGGUUCGGUAAGUCUGCUGUGAAAUCCUGGGGCUCAACCCUGGGCGUGCAGCGGAUACUGCCGGGCUAGAGGGUGGUAGAGGCGAGUGGAAUUCCGAGUGUAGCGGUGAAAUUCGUAGAUAUUGGGAAGAACACCGGUGGCGAAGGCGGCGAGCUGGUCCAUUUCUGACGCUGAGGCGCGACAGCGUGGGGAGCAAACAGGAUUAGAUACCCCAGUAGUCC
rnacentral:rRNA from 1 species